AUCCAGUUGACGAGUCCCAAAUAGGACGAAAUGCGCGUCCUAGAU
rnacentral:hammerhead_ribozyme from 1 species